rnacentral:rRNA from 1 species
UGCAAGUCGGACGGGAUUGAGAAGCUUGCUUUUCAUGAGAGUGGCGCACGGGUGCGUAACACGUAUGUAACCUACCUUAAUCAGGGGGAUAGCCUCUCGAAAGAGAGAUUAACACCGCAUAAAAUCAAUUUAUGGCAUCAUAGAAUGAUCAAAUAUUUAUAGGAUUAAGAUGGGCAUGCGGAACAUUAGCUAGUUGGUAAGGUAACGGCUUACCAAGGCUACGAUGUUUAGGGGAUCUGAGAGGAUGACCCCCCACACUGGUACUGAGACACGGACCAGACUCCUACGAGAGGCAGCAGUAAGGAAUAUUGGUCAAUGGGCGCAAGCCUGAACCAGCCAUGCCGCGUGCAGGAAGACGGCCCUACGGGUUGUAAACUGCUUUUGUACCGGAAUAAACCUUUGUAUGUAUACGAAGCUGAAUGUACGGUAAGAAUAAGGAUCGGCUAACUCCGUGCCAGCAGCCGCGGUAAUACGGAGGAUCCAAGCGUUAUCCGGAUUUAUUGGGUUUAAAGGGUGCGUAGGUGGCCUAUUAAGUCAGGGGUGAAAGACGGUAGCUCAACUAUCGCAGUGCCUUUGAUACUGAUGGGCUUGAAUACACUAGAGGUAGGCGGAAUGUGACAAGUAGCGGUGAAAUGCGUAGAUAUGUCACAGAACACCAAUUGCGAAGGCAGCUUACUAUGGUGUCAUUGACACUGAGGCACGAAAGCGUGGGGAUCAAACAGGAUUAGAUACCCUGGUAGUCCACGCCCUAAACGAUGAACACUCGAUGUUGGCGAUAUACGGUCAGCGUCUAAGCGAAAGCG